rnacentral:rRNA from 1 species
UUAAGCGACUAAGCGUACACGGUGGAUGCCCUGGCAGUCAGAGGCGAUGAAGGACGUGCUAAUCUGCGAUAAGCGUCGGUAAGGUGAUAUGAACCGUUAUAACCGGCGAUUUCCGAAUGGGGAAACCCAGUGUGUUUCGACACACUAUCAUUAACUGAAUCCAUAGGUUAAUGAGGCGAACCGGGGGAACUGAAACAUCUAAGUACCCCGAGGAAAAGAAAUCAACCGAGAUUCCCCCAGUAGCGGCGAGCGAACGGGGAGGAGCCCAGAGCCUGAAUCAGUGUGUGUGUUAGUGGAAGCGUCUGGAAAGGCGCGCGAUACAGGGUGACAGCCCCGUACACAAAAAUGCACAUGCUGUGAGCUCGAUGAGUAGGGCGGGACACGUGGUAUCCUGUCUGAAUAUGGGGGGACCAUCCUCCAAGGCUAAAUACUCCUGACUGACCGAUAGUGAACCAGUACCGUGAGGGAAAGGCGAAAAGAACCCCGGCGAGGGGAGUGAAAAAGAACCUGAAACCGUGUACGUACAAGCAGUGGGAGCACGCUUCGGCGUGUGACUGCGUACCUUUUGUAUAAUGGGUCAGCGACUUAUAUUCUGUAGCAAGGUUAACCGAAUAGGGGAGCCGAAGGGAAACCGAGUCUUAACUGGGCGUUAAGUUGCAGGGUAUAGACCCGAAACCCGGUGAUCUAGCCAUGGGCAGGUUGAAGGUUGGGUAACACUAACUGGAGGACCGAACCGACUAAUGUUGAAAAAUUAGCGGAUGACUUGUGGCUGGGGGUGAAAGGCCAAUCAAACCGGGAGAUAGCUGGUUCUCCCCGAAAGCUAUUUAGGUAGCGCCUCGUGAAUUCAUCUCCGGGGGUAGAGCACUGUUUCGGCAAGGGGGUCAUCCCGACUUACCAACCCGAUGCAAACUGCGAAUACCGGAGAAUGUUAUCACGGGAGACACACGGCGGGUGCUAACGUCCGUCGUGAAGAGGGAAACAACCCAGACCGCCAGCUAAGGUCCCAAAGUCAUGGUUAAGUGGGAAACGAUGUGGGAAGGCCCAGACAGCCAGGAUGUUGGCUUAGAAGCAGCCAUCAUUUAAAGAAAGCGUAAUAGCUCACUGGUCGAGUCGGCCUGCGCGGAAGAUGUAACGGGGCUAAACCAUGCACCGAAGCUGCGGCAGCGACGCUUAUGCGUUGUUGGGUAGGGAGCGUUCUGUAAGCCUGUGAAGGUGUACUGUGAGGUAUGCUGGAGGUAUCAGAAGUGCGAAUGCUGACAUAAGUAACGAUAAAGCGGGUGAAAAGCCCGCUCGCCGGAAGACCAAGGGUUCCUGUCCAACGUUAAUCGGGGCAGGGUGAGUCGACCCCUAAGGCGAGGCCGAAAGGCGUAGUCGAUGGGAAACAGGUUAAUAUUCCUGUACUUGGUGUUACUGCGAAGGGGGACGGAGAAGGCUAUGUUGGCCGGGCGACGGUUGUCCCGGUUUAAGCGUGUAGGCUGGUUUUCCAGGCAAAUCCGGAAAAUCAAGGCUGAGGCGUGAUGACGAGGCACUACGGUGCUGAAGCAACAAAUGCCCUGCUUCCAGGAAAAGCCUCUAAGCAUCAGGUAACAUCAAAUCGUACCCCAAACCGACACAGGUGGUCAGGUAGAGAAUACCAAGGCGCUUGAGAGAACUCGGGUGAAGGAACUAGGCAAAAUGGUGCCGUAACUUCGGGAGAAGGCACGCUGAUAUGUAGGUGAAGUCCCUCGCGGAUGGAGCUGAAAUCAGUCGAAGAUACCAGCUGGCUGCAACUGUUUAUUAAAAACACAGCACUGUGCAAACACGAAAGUGGACGUAUACGGUGUGACGCCUGCCCGGUGCCGGAAGGUUAAUUGAUGGGGUUAGCGGUAACGCGAAGCUCUUGAUCGAAGCCCCGGUAAACGGCGGCCGUAACUAUAACGGUCCUAAGGUAGCGAAAUUCCUUGUCGGGUAAGUUCCGACCUGCACGAAAUGGCGUAAUGAUGGCCAGGCUGUCUCCACCCGAGACUCAGUGAAAUUGAACUCGCUGUGAAGAUGCAGUGUACCCGCGGCAAGACGGAAAGACCCCGUGAACCUUUACUAUAGCUUGACACUGAACAUUGAGCCUUGAUGUGUAGGAUAGGUGGGAGGCUUUGAAGUGUGGACGCCAGUCUGCAUGGAGCCGACCUUGAAAUACCACCCUUUAAUGUUUGAUGUUCUAACGUUGGCCCCUGAUCGGGGUUGCGGACAGUGUCUGGUGGGUAGUUUGACUGGGGCGGUCUCCUCCUAAAGAGUAACGGAGGAGCACGAAGGUUGGCUAAUCCUGGUCGGACAUCAGGAGGUUAGUGCAAUGGCAUAAGCCAGCUUGACUGCGAGCGUGACGGCGCGAGCAGGUGCGAAAGCAGGUCAUAGUGAUCCGGUGGUUCUGAAUGGAAGGGCCAUCGCUCAACGGAUAAAAGGUACUCCGGGGAUAACAGGCUGAUACCGCCCAAGAGUUCAUAUCGACGGCGGUGUUUGGCACCUCGAUGUCGGCUCAUCACAUCCUGGGGCUGAAGUAGGUCCCAAGGGUAUGGCUGUUCGCCAUUUAAAGUGGUACGCGAGCUGGGUUUAGAACGUCGUGAGACAGUUCGGUCCCUAUCUGCCGUGGGCGCUGGAGAACUGAGGGGGGCUGCUCCUAGUACGAGAGGACCGGAGUGGACGCAUCACUGGUGUUCGGGUUGUCAUGCCAAUGGCACUGCCCGGUAGCUAAAUGCGGAAGAGAUAAGUGCUGAAAGCAUCUAAGCACGAAACUUGCCCCGAGAUGAGUUCUCCCUGACUCCUUGAGAGUCCUGAAGGAACGUUGAAGACGACGACGUUGAUAGGCCGGGUGUGUAAGCGCAGCGAUGCGUUGAGCUAACCGGUACUAAUGAACCGUGAGGCUUAACCUU